CAGGGACUUCCCCACCCUAUACAUAUGGCUGCCACGGCACGCACGUCCAAAGGCCCCGCAGACCACACCAGCACUCACCACUUCCAUAGCCAUAUGGAAUAAACUUUCUUUACAACACGCGCUCACAUCGGACCCAUCACCCCUGGCACCAAUACUAAGAAAUGAACAAUUCUUACCGGGCAUGACCCCGCGUGACUUUGUUCGCUAUGAGGAUAACAACCUCCACAGAGUAUACCGGUUCUACAAGGACCAACGACUGAUUCCGUUCACAGAACUGCCCCAAACAGUGCCACUCACCACACGCGACUAUUUCCGAUACAUCCAGAUAAAAGACUUCCUAGAGACAACCGCCUACAAACGGGCAGGACAAACCCCUCUCACCCCCUUCGAACAAGCUUGUAUUCACACUCCUAUACGGAAAAGCCAAAUCUCCAUUACAUACACAUGGCUACUCAAAGCAACACAAAAACAACCGCUUAACUACGUCACGGCAUGGGAAAGGGACCUGGGCCCCCCCACCGACCCCUCAGACUGGGCGACCAUCUGGGAGGCCACAUCAAAAAUAACAAUAUGUGUCACACACAAGGAACAGGCCUAUAAGACCCUCAUGCGAUGGUACAUUACGCCACUAAAACUCAAACAGAUGGGACUAUCCACCUCAGACAGAUGCUGGAAAGGCUGCGGCCAACAGGGGACAUACUAUCACCUUUGGUGGGAAUGCCCUCUUAUUACACCAAUUUGGAGAGACAUAGCGACACUUGCAUCACGGGUCCUACAUGAUACCAUCCCUACAGACCCCUGGCUAUGGCUCCUAUCCAAACCUCUACCAGACACACCCCGCGCACACAACAAACUUUUGGCCAAACUAGCCCUAGCAACAAGGAGAGCCAUAGCUACCCACUGGGGGGCGGCUACGAUCCCAACAAUAACAGACGUCAAACGCAAAAUGAAUGAGGCGAGGCUCAUGGACGGAAUGUCAGCUCUCAUUCACGAGACCACAAUACAUUGCGACAAAAUCUGGGACCCAUGGCUCGCGGAGCCCUCAACCCACACCUAAUACACAACGCGGUGCGCCAUCCCAUUCCACCCCCCCUCUCCCCAUAAUCUAGCAACACACCCUCCCCCUUAUCCCUAACUCAGUGCCCAUCAGCGGACCCCCGACAAGGCAGAUAACAACCACACCAAAUCACUGCCACCACAUGCCUAGCAUCCCCCCAAAGUAAUCACACAAAGAAACAAACAAACCCCACAGACCACCGGAAGAUAUGAUACAGAAACGAAACAGAUGAUCCUGAGACCAAACCUCCUCUCUUCCCGACUGAAACCCUACCCCAGGGAAACUAAGGCAAAAUCGGCAACAUAAAGCCAAGAUACUACCACAACAUAAGGGUACCAUCGUAAAGAUGCAGUAUACCCAAACUACUUCAGGGAAAGGCCAGCAGCCAGCGCACAGGCAAGCAGAUAAAAAGCCCCCAACACCCUGUCCAUCACAACUGUACGGUAUCACCCACCAUAGUCUAACAGACGCUGAAUGAACACAUAGGGAACGAGAUGACUCCCCAUAAAACGCACACAAGCCAGACAAUGACACAAAGCCCUACUAAACGGACGCACAAGUCCCACAAUCCCCCCCCCUACCAUUUCAGGAACACACCCAAAACGGUAUCUCCUGAACUUGAACCCCACGACCAUAGAAACAAUCUGAUACAAGAGAUACAACCAAUUAACAAAAAAAAAAAAAAACACUGACAGAUCAAAACACCAGCUGAAAAACCAACGACUGAAAGAAACAAAGAAAGAGAAAAAACAGGCUUCUCGAAGAACAAACGUACUGCUAACCAAAUAAUUGUCUUCUUUCUGUAUAUGCACAGU
rnacentral:lncRNA from 1 species